GGACUGUAUUCUAUCGAUUUAUUUCAUUGGAAAGAUUAUCUAUUUACAACGCGAUUUUAGACUUCCUCGUCUCGCUACGAUCUGAUCACAACUGAAUUUACAUAUUUGCCUCAAUCAAUGUUGGUAUUAAAUUACAAUGAAUCACUAUGACGUAUUUUAAGCAAUACUAUAUACAUAUUUGUACAUUAAGUAGCAGAAGCAACUGCUGUGCGGAAAACUGGCGGCACUGCGCUGGGAACUUACAACACCCCACCCACCUUGAUUCAUAAAGGAUUGAUCUAUGAAUCAAGCAUCGCCCUUGUCUUCGCUUUGGAAAUAACAGCAGCAGCUCGUCUUGGACGCUCAUGCAAAUCAUGCAAGGAACCUUCUGACUCAGCUGAAGGGGAAUUCCCUUCCUUCCCUUUCCCACCCGGUCGAGCUUGAAUCUCUAACGGGUAAAGUUUCUGGACCGGUCUUUUCAGGUAAACUGGUCUACCCUUCCCUGCAACUCUUACUUUGGCUCCUCUAAUUUCCUUGUCCUUUCCUAUAAUUAGUUCUUCUACUUUCGCUAAUUUCCAAUUACCUCGUUUCUCUCCCUCUCCAUACACUGUCACUACAUCUCCCUUCUUCACACUCUUUCUCGCAUUUUGACUCUUACAUUUAUGAAAUUCUCUCAACCCUGUCAGGUACUCACUUUGCCACCUCUUCCAGAAAUGUUGUAAUUUCAACGUAAUAUACUUAAAUCUUAAUCCACAGCUACGUUCCUCUCUAACUACUUCCCUCUGUGGUAUGAAGCUAAUAGCUCUACCAUAAAUUAGGUGUGACGGUGUCAAAACCUCUCCUUCACACUCUUCAUACUCAUCUGUUAAUGGUCUAGCAUUUAAUGUACCCUCUAUCUCUACAAGCACUGUGGUAAGUUCAUCUACUGUCAAUUUAGCAUUACCUAGAACCUUUCUAAGACACUGUUUAACACUCCGAACCAUUCUCUCAAAAAAUCCUCCCCACCAAGGCGCUCUUUCUAAAUUAAACCUCCAUGUUACUCGUUUGGUUUGCAAUUCCGCCUUAACCUUAGGUUGGUUAAACAACCGUCUAACUGCCCUUUCUGCUGCCUUAAACGUUUUGGCAUUGUCAGAUACUAUAAGGCUUGGCAUUCCUCUCCUAGCAGCAAAUCUCCGUAGACAACACAAAAAUGUCUCUGCAGAUAAAUCCCUAACUAGCUCCAAAUGUAUAGCUCUAGUCACACAACAAGAAAACAAUGCUA